GGCUAGUUUAAGUGCAGCAGUAUUUGCAACGAGUCGAUCACAACCAGUUACAGAUUUUUUUUUCCUUUCUCCCCUUCCACUGCUUCACUUAGCCUUUA
rnacentral:Y_RNA from 1 species